rnacentral:lncRNA from 1 species
UCUGUAGACAAAAGCAAGAUUAGUCAGAAACGUGCCUGCUAGGACUGUAGACGAGAAGUCAAACAACUGCCAGGUUCAGGUUGUGUCGGGUUGUCCAGCUACCCAGAUGCAGAGGCUGCCGUGAACUGGGGGCUAGAGAAGCCUUGUGAACCUAGAAGUAGACCCACACAGAUCUGCCCUCCAGUCACACUUUGCCAGGAGUGAGAGCCAUUCUGCAGAGGAGGAGGAGGAAAUACCACGUCAGCAGACAUGCUAGACAGCUGGACAGUGUACACAGAAAGGGACCUUGCCUACCACUUGACACCUUCACAAAGCCAACUUAGAGUAGACUGUGGGCUUAAGUGUCCACUUAACAAAACUUGUAAGGGUGUUGGAGGGGGACUGAAAGUAAUUCAUGGUCUCCGGCCAGGCAGAGAGGUCUUAGAUGACACCAGAAAGGGUGCGUAAGAGGAAAACUGAUCAUCUAGGCUUUCAGAGACUCUGCAUGGGAGGAUGGAAGCAGCAUGUCCACAGUGGUUCUAUCCUCAUACCACAGAAGAAGAGAUGAGAUGACAUCCUACAGGCUGAACGCAAGUAUUUGCAAACCCCAUGUGUAGAUACGCAGGCUAGUAUCUAGAGUACAGGAAAACCUUUCCAGACUCAAUGUGAAAGCUAUCCAGUUCAGUUUGGGCAGAUACAGAGACACCGCAGUGAAGGAGAUAAGUGAAGAGCUAUAGGCAUGAAAGGUUGUUUAGCAGGUCUAGCCGUCGGGGGAAUGCACAAGGCUCACAUCUCGAUGCUAGAAGGGAGUCUGCCCUUUCUUAAAACCUCAGUGUUAUUUAUGAUGCUACUCAACACUCACACUUCUAAGAAGUUGUUUAUCCCACUGAACUGCAAAAUUUUAUUUACAUGAAAAACAAAGUUUUGUGUGUGUGUGUGACACACACACACACACACACACACACACAGAGAGAGGGAGGGAGGGAGGGAGAGAGAGAGAGAGAGAGAGAGAGAGAGAGAGAGAGAGAGAACAAAAAGGAAAGAAAGGAUUAUACGCUGGGAGUGGUGGCGCACACCUUUAAUCCCAGCACUCGGGAGGCAGAGGCAGGUGGAUUUCUGAGUUCGAGGCCAGCCUGGUCUACAAAGUGAGUUCCAGGACAGCCAGGGCUACACAGAAAAACCCUGUUUUGAAAAACCAAAAAAAAAAAAAAAAAAAAAAAAAAAAGGAAAGGAAGGAAGGAAGGAUGGAUGGAUGGAUAGAUGGAUUGUGCAUAGCUGGGCAUGUUGAUGAUGUACUUCUGUGAUCUUGUUAUCCCAGCUGCUCAGGAGAAUGAGGGGGAGGGUCACUUGAGUCCAAGAGUUCAAAGCCAUUCUGGGCACUGU